rnacentral:rRNA from 1 species
UACGUAGGGGGCAAGCGUUGUUCGGAAUUACUGGGCGUAAAGGGCUCGUAGGCGGCCAACUAAGUCAGACGUGAAAUCCCUCGGCUUAACCGGGGAACUGCGUCUGAUACUGGAUGGCUUGAGUUCGGGAGAGGGAUGUGGAAUUCCAGGUGUAGCGGUGAAAUGCGUAGAUAUCUGGAGGAACACCGGUGGCGAAGGCGGCAUCCUGGACCGACACUGACGCUGAGGAGCGAAAGCCAGGGGAGCAAACGGG